rnacentral:tRNA from 2 species
GCGCCCAUAGCUCAACUCGGCAGAGCAGCGGACUCUUAAUCCGUUGGUUCCAGGUUCGAGUCCUGGUGGGCGCACCA